rnacentral:lncRNA from 1 species
UUAAUUUGAGAUGUUCAAUUAGACACACAGUGGAGAUGCCAAAUAGACAAUUAUACAGGAGUCUGGUGCUGAGUGUUGAGGUCUGGGAUGGAGACAUCACCCUGAGGGUCCUUAGCAUUUAAAUGCUGUUUAAAACCAGGAGGUUAGAUGAGCUCAUCAAGGGAGAGAGAAGGGAUAGAAGGGAGAGGGUCUGAGGACUCAGCCCUGGAGCAUAGAUAAUUAACAGGCAGAUGAGGAGAAACUGGGAGAGGAGACUGAGAAGGAACAGCAGGCAAGAGAAAGAGGGCUAAGGGAGAGCCAUGACCUACAAUCAGGUCAAGAAGCAUUUCUACAGGAGAGAUUUAUGCUGCUGAUCUUCCAAUAGAUCAAGUAGUGUGGAGACCACUGAGACCCAGCCACUGGAGACCAUUAGCCUAGAGAGGUCAUUGGUGGCCUUGCCAAGCCCUGUUUUGAUUCCAGGUUCGGGAGACAGAGUGUAGACAGAGGAGAGGAAUCACAGACAGCCCAGUGCAGACAAUAGGCAACUCUUUCAAAGAGUCAUCUUAUAAAGGUUUCACAUACAGAAGCAGCUUCAUGGACCCAUCCAACAGGAAGGGAUUUCUUACAGGCAAGCCAAGAAGUUAUCUUGCAGCUGACUUUCAGUUAUGCAUAACUACCACCCAUCCGGGACCCAAUGAUUGGGCAAAGGAGCUCGGACAUCACACAAUAAUGGCCCAGUGACUCGUCUAAUUGCCUACUUGUCAAUGCCAUAGUAUUACAACAUUCUGGUGGCCUGACUUACUUGACUAUUCAUAUCUCAAAGGGCAUGCCUCUGAGAUGCCACGCGAGAUAUUUUGAAAGAUUAGAUAUUGCCGAAUUGAGUCAUAUGUGGGAAAGAGAGAAGAGGGCUCACUGGAUUCCUCUCUGGUAGCAAGUGAUUUGGUGGGAGUGAAGCCCUGAGAAGAGACUGUCUGGGAGGAUCAACCAAAAGCCUUAAAACAAAGGAGUGACUUUCAGAGACUGGCUAAGGAUACAAUCAUUAAAAUCAUUUAUUCAGUCACCAUUUUCAGAGCUCACUGUUAGGCAGGCAAAGAUACAUAAGAGAAGUUGCUUACUUUCAUGAUCAAGUUGGAGACAGCAGUUAUCAGAACACUCUCAGUAUUUCUGGGAAAUCCUGCAAGUUAUGUCACAUGGGGUACCUCUUUCUUUGAGCUCAAAUCGUCCUAUCUGCCACUCUGGUUACAUAACCACUCUGAACUGCAGUUUCAUCUUCUGUAAAUUGGGAAUAAUGAGUUCUACCUCAUUUUUAAGUGAGCUUCUUAACGUGAAAGUAAUUUUCAGAUGAUUUAAUGCGAAGGGAUAUAAAUACAUUGGGAGUAUUUGGGGAAUCCAUGAAGAGAUUUACUUCCUUCUUUAAUAUUCUGAGAUUUUACUUUGCAGUCUUACAGGCAUGCACGUGCGUUUUUUUUUUUUAAGUUGAUUAAUUAAAAUUAUUCCCUGCUUUUGUUCUUAAAAUGAGAUAUACUCCAUUUUUAUAGAUUUGUCAAGGUUGCAAAGCUUCAGAAUUCCUAAGUCAGCUGUGACUAUUGGAUAAUAUCAAACCAAAGCAUUGAGGGUUCCUUUAAAAACCAAAAAGUCUGUUUCAGGGCUGAGACAAUGAGGAUUUCUAAUAUCUUUAAAGGUGCAAGAAGCAGGCAAGGGAGCCUUGGAAUUAUUGACAAGAGCCUUCGUAAACACCUUCCAACCAGUUUUCCUCACAGUUGCCACAAAAGGAACAGGCUUGUGAGAGGGCCACAAAGGAGCUUAGGUUUCCUGACAAACUCUGAAUGGCCUUCCCUGUAUUACCAAGGGCUGACUUUGUUCCUGGUGGUGCCAACAGUGGGCAUGAAGCCAGCCCUUCUGUUUACGAGCAGCUCAAGGUCAGGUGGGCUUGGACUACCUGACUUUUCAUUAGGUCAGUAAAUAUGUAUAUGAGUAAAGUGGUUGUGGGCCAACUGAACUGCUUGCUCCAGAGCUAUGGACCUCUUGCCUGGCCUCCCAGCUCCCUGAAUCCAUGAGAACAUUCAAUGAAUCAACGAGGACAUUCACAUCCUCAUUGAGUCCUCCUUGGUCCUUCCCAUUCCCUGCCUCAUUCACAAGACCCUCUCCUCAUCUCUCACCCUGUCUUGCCUUGACGACCUGUCCAGGCCCAUCAUCCACCUGACUUAUAAACUUCAAACACCUUGUGGUGUUUCCUGCUUCCAAAUAUUCCUCAAAAUUGAGGAUCCUGAGUUGAAUACCUGGAGUUCUCCUUUCUGAUUUCUAUAAUGGUAGACAUGGUCUAAGGUAGAUUUUCCAGGCUUUUCUGGACUUGCCAGAGACUCCCUCUCUUGGCAGGUCUGAAUCAGAAGAUCAUGCACUGGCUUGGCAUGGUGGCUUAUGCCUGUAAUCUCAGCACUUUGGGAGGUCAACGCGGGCAGAUCACUUGAGGUCAGGAGUUCGAGACCAGCCUGGCCAACAUGGUGAAACCAUGUCUCUACUAAAUACAAAAAUUAGCCGGGUGUGGUGGUGCACACCUGUCAUUCCAGCUACUCGGCAGGCUGAGGCACAAGAAUCUCUUGAAAUGGUGAGGCAGAGCUUGCAGUGAGCCAAGAUUGAACCACUGUAUGCUAUCCUGGGUGACAGACUGAAAUAAAAGAAGAUUCCUGCAGUGUCCUAGAAUCUCUACUUUUUUAAAUUUUUUUUUUGAGAUGAAGCCUCACUCUUGUUCUCCAGGCUGGAGUGUGAUGGCAUGAUCUCGGUUCACUGUAACCUCUGCCUCCUGGGUUCAAUCGAUUCCCCUGCCUCAGCCUUCCAAGUAGCUGGGAUUACAGGUGCCUGCCACCAUGCCCGGCUAACUUUUGUAUUUUUAGUAGAGAUGUGGUUUCACUAUGUUGGCCAGGCUGGUCUCAAACUCCUGACCUCAGGUGAUCUGCCUGCCUUGGCCUCCCAAAUUGCUGGGAUUACAGGCGUAAGCCACUGAGCCCGGCCAGAAUUUCUACUUUUAACAAUUAUCCUGGAGGAUUAUUAUGAUCAAGUAUGUUGGAGGAAUAGCUAGAAUGCCUGUUAGGGUAUAAAAAGUAUUAUGUUUUACUUCUUCAUGUAUAUUUGCAUGUUUUCCUAACAGACCCUCAGUAUUACUAGAUGAUUAGCCAAUAUUGCUAGAUGAUUAGCUAGAUAAUAUGGAUGAUUUGACUGGCAGGUAGUGGCCCUAAUGCAGUAAUAAGAAACUCUGUCCAUAGAUAGUUGAGAAAGAGCCUUGGGUGCUGACACAUUAAAUAGGCCUUAUGAAAUAUAUUUUGGUGUUCUUGAGAGAUGAGAAUGAAUUUUCAAGAGGGCAAUUUGGUCUCAUUUUAACUUGGAAGAUAGAAGAGAUGGUCAAGAGUCUCAUUGUUUAUAUAAAAAGACUGUAGAAAAUGCAUCAAAGCAUUCGUAAGGUUAGGCACCUCUACACGCUUCUUGAGGUUAGACACCUCUACAUGGUUGGUGUGGUAUCUGCCACAAAGUAAGCUCUCAAUAAAACUAAUGGAAUGAAUAAAUAAAUGAAUGAACAUUGUAUUCAUUGAUGGUGACUGGGACAUGUUCCUUUCUCCUCCCUGUCUGUCUAGGUCUUCUCACCUGAAGAACAUUGGGAAGACUUUAAUUGGAAUCACAAGAAUUGGGUAUAAACUUUGGCUCCGGCCGGGCGCGGUGGCUCAAGCCUGUAAUCCCAGCACUUUGGGAGGCCGAGACGGGCGGAUCACGAGGUCAGGAGAUCGAGACCAUCUUGGGUAACACAGUGAAACCCCGUCUCUACUAAAAAUACAAAAACUUAGCCGGGCGAGGUGGCAGGCGCCUGUAGUCCCAGCUACUCGGGAGGCUGAGGCAGGAGAAUGGCGUGAACCCGGGAGGCGGAGCUUGCAGUGAGCUGAGAUCCGGCCACUGCACUCCAGCCUGGGUGA